AAUAAGGUGGCUGAAGUUUAGGUUGUAAAUUGUAAAUUUAUAUAUGGUUGUAUACCCCUUGUUA
rnacentral:tRNA from 1 species